AGUGAACGCUGGCGGUAGGCCUAACACAUGCAAGUCGAACGGCAGCACAGUAAGAGCUUGCUCUUACGGGUGGCGAGUGGCGGACGGGUGGGGAAUACAUCGGAAUCUACUUUUUCGUGGGGGAUAACGUAGGGAAACUUACGCUAAUACCGCAUACGACCUACGGGUGAAAGCAGGGGAUCUUCGGACCUUGCGCGAUUGAAUGAGCCGAUGUCGGAUUAGCUAGUUGGCGGGGUAAAGGCCCACCAAGGCGACGAUCCGUAGCUGGUCUGAGAGGAUGAUCAGCCACACUGGAACUGAGACACGGUCCAGACUCCUACGGGAGGCAGCAGUGGGGAAUAUUGGACAAUGGGCGCAAGCCUGAUCCAGCCAUACCGCGUGGGUGAAGAAGGCCUUCGGGUGGUAAAGCCCUUUUGUUGGGAAAGAAAAGCAGCAGGUUAAUACCCCGCUGUUCUGACGGUACCCAAAGAAUAAGCACCGGCUAACUUCGU
rnacentral:rRNA from 1 species